UGAACUCACGCCUCCCUCUCUCACACCCUUCGGCCACCCCUCUCCAGUCCAGCCACGCCGCCGCCGCCGCUGCCGCCGCAGCCACCCCGGCGAGGCUCGCCGCCAGUCGUCAGUUCGCCAGUCGCCGCACCGCCACUCCUCUCCUUCGCGUCCUCUGCGGCGACGGCCGAGGAAGGCCGCCGCCGCUGCUGCCAUUUUCGCAGCGGGCCGCGCGCCUGGCCUCCGGCCGCGCCACCGUCAACCUCCGGCGAGCAAAACGAAGGCCACCCCGGCCCACUGUUCUCCCCUCUCCUCUCUGGCUUUGACGGACAGCAGCUGCCAGGCUGCCACCGCCGCUGCCGAGCUCCGAUUCAGACCAUGGCCGGCCGCGCCGCCUUCUUCGGCGUCACCUUGCCCAGCCGCCGUUCGCCUUCUCCCUCUUUUCCUCACGCGAAUCCGGCAGCAGCAGGCCCAGAAGGGAGCCGCCGCGCCGCCGCCCUCUCCGACAGGGCGGUGCUUAUGCAACCACCAAAAGAAAGGAACGGGAAUCCCCUUCUCACACUCUCGCGCUCCAACCCAUCCCAACAACGAAGGAAGAAUGUGACAGGAAGAUUUGUUCUUGAGAAAAAAAUGAAUCUUGCAGAUGAGAAGUAAGGUAAGUUCUUGUAUAAUGGUGGGAAUUGGUUCUCGAGGGAGGAAGGGGAAAAGAAGGUCGAGUCUUGGUGUUUGUUGGUACAGAUUGUUCUUGA
rnacentral:lncRNA from 1 species